CUUUACUCUCAACUCCUCCAGCUGAUCCUUGUUCAUACACAACAUGCCCUGUCCAUCAGCAUCAGUCAGAACUAAAUUAUCCAGCGUUUUAUGCUCUGCAAUUAUCGGCUGCAGUAAAUAAUGUCUCGCUGAAGCCGCGAUUAGUGAGCUAAUCGUCCAAACUACUCUCAAUUUUAGUCCCCCAUUAGUAUAAAACGAUUCGGGUAUGCUCCCGCUGUCAUCAGCUGCAGCACCAUUUCCAGAACAAAACCCAGCAGUUCCAUUCUCUUGAACGUGCUUAUUAAAGGAUCCAGUGUGAAUCACCGAUGCAGCACCCAGGAUCACACAAUUAUCCAAAGUUGAUCCGAAAUCAGCUCGCCAUUUCAACAAUAUCCCAUCGUCGAUACCCAAUUCGCCGCUAGGAAGCUCGAUCCGAAGUAACCGAAUCUCGUUAAAAUUCUUAAGAACUUGCGUAGGCGAGUGAUGAGUCACACCACUUUGACCACUCUCCCCAUCUUCUUCCCUCCCAACCGCAAGCGCAGACGUCGACAAAGAAGACGAAGCCGAACCUAACCCAGAGGAAUUCACCCGUUUCGGACCCAAAAACUGACCUAGCGCUUGAAGCGGCUUCACAAUGCCUCCAAGAACCAUACGAAACAGAUUAGAAAAGCCACUCCGGGACUUAUCAGAAGACGAAGAAGCUGAG
rnacentral:misc_RNA from 1 species